rnacentral:lncRNA from 1 species
GGGAUCGUGCAAUCUCAUAGCUAAUAAUUCAAUUGGUCAAUAUUCUUCUAUAUAAAUAGUCAGAGCCACGAAGAUCCAGGUAAGUUUAAUCGAAUCCCUCUCAGAGAACUCGUUGUUGCUUCUUUAUUCUCUGCUUUUCUGACUUGAGUGUCGGAGGGUCCUCGUCGAAGCCACAACCUCUGGUUUGGAACUUGUUUUGCAGGUCGCUCGAGCACCAGCACCACCGCUCGAGGUCUCC